CUCGAGGAGGGGCGUGGCCUCGUCCGUAGGAGGCGGAUCCUGAUGCUUCCCUUAACGCCAGCUAGUGAGCCCAGGAAUAGUUCGGAAAGCUCAGGUAGUCACCUCGGGGUCUUCCAGAGGAAACAGAGGACUAGCCCCACGGCCUAAAACCCCAGUAGCUCUGGGGUUAACAGACAGGAGGCUGAGCCGCGGUGAGCAGAAGUAUGAAAAUACAUCCAGCAUCGUUAGGCAUCAGAGAAAUGCAACAGAAACCACAACCAAGCUGAGACAAGCCAAAAAUGCAGGCUGUAGAAUGAAGAAGACAUCUGCACAGGUUGAAGGGCCCUGUAACACUGAAUGUACUAGAAUUUGAGACUGCCUCACCCAUAAAAGACAGUGUUUCUCUGUAGCCUUGGCUGUCCUGGACUCACUAAUGCAUGGCUCAUUGAUGGUUCAUCAACCGCUGAUGGAACCAAAGCUAAUGGAAAAUGGCAGCCUAUAGACAGGGAGAUGGAAUGGCCAAUACUGAGGAAGGACCCACAAAAUCAGUGCAGCACUGUUGACUAUAAGACAAACAACUAGGAAAGCAAAACACUCUAUCUUUGCCAAUUCAUGAAUAAAAACAUCCAACUAAGGAAUCUGGAGACCCCUGGACAAGUGAGACAUCUAAAGAAGAACGGAUCAUCAGGGAAAAUGUCCCAAGAAAAAGAGUAAAUUGGCCAAUGGUAUUGCUGCCCUCUACAGACAUAAGGGCAAAACAGUCUUUAUGUCAUCCAAAUCCAAUUAACACUUAAAGCUGGCUUUGGAGUGUGGCUUUCUCCUUCUCUAAACCCACGCAUGCCUGUUAAAGGAAAAUCCAAAACCUCUGUCUGAUAUCAAAAGAGCUACCUGGUAUGGGACAGAAGAAAACAAAUAAGAGACUAUUUUAUUGCCACUAAUCUCAUAAUCUUUUGGUUUUCAUUUGACUCUCUAAAGGUUUUCUUAAGGUAUAAAUGUUAUCUCAAAAUCUAAGAUUAUUAUUUAUAUCGUCAGACUAUUCUAGAAAUAAGAUUCACCCAGCUUCCUGUAUGUUUUCAGGUUUGAAUCUGAAGCAAGCUCAGAUGUAAUAGACUGUGGUCCUCGAACCUUUCAGAGAUCUGCUGAAUGUGGCAUUUAAAGUUUCUUACAGGGCUGGAGAGAUGGCUCUAAGGUUAAGAGCACCAGCUGCUCUUCCAGAGUUCUUGAGUUCAAUUCCAAGAAACCACAGGGUGACUCACAACCAUCUAUAAUGAGACGUGGUGCUCUCUUCUGGCAUGCAAGUGUACAUGCAGACAGAAAACUGUAUAAAUAAUAAAUAAGUCUUUUAAAGAAUAAAAAAUAAUAAAGUUUCCUACA